GAUGAACGCUGGCGGCGUGCUUAACACAUGCCAGUCGAACGGAAAGGCCCAAGCUUGCUUGGGUACUCGAGUGGCGAACGGGUGAGUAACACGUGGGUGAUCUGCCCUGCACUUCGGGAUAAGCCUGGGAAACUGGGUCUAAUACCGGAUAGGACGAUGGUUUGGAUGCCAUUGUGGAAAGUUUUUUCGGUGUGGGAUGAGCUCGCGGCCUAUCAGCUUGUUGGUGGGGUAAUGGCCUACCAAGGCGUCGACGGGUAGCCGGCCUGAGAGGGCGUACGGCCACAUUGGGACUGAGAUACGGCCCAGACUCCUACGGGAGGCAGCAGUGGGGAAUAUUGCACAAUGGGCGCAAGCCUGAUGCAGCGACGCCGCGUGGGGGAUGACGGCCUUCGGGUUGUAAACUCCUUUCGCUAGGGACGAAGCGUUUUUGUGACGGUACCUGGAGAAGAAGCACCGGCUAACUACGUG
rnacentral:rRNA from 1 species